AAAAAUGGUAAAGUAGAACGUUUCAGGGACUGUAACGCAAAAGUUUUUUUUUCUUCUGUUAGUACAAUUUAAUUAGCAUGUAUCGAUUAUAACACAACACUUCUUUUUUUACAUGUACUAACGGCAAAUAAUCGUAGAUGCACAAUUUAUACAUUUGUACAUAUAAACAUGCCAUGAUACAAUUCGAUAUAUUUGGAGUAUAGGAUGCAUAAUAUGAGUAUGUUAAAAACUGAAAAUCAAAGUUUCACAUUAUAUCCCCUAUAUCUGUAUGUGGAUCAUAUAACACAUCAAUGUUAAUCAGACAGGAAAUAAAAUGCGCACCGAACUUGAACUGUUUUGUACUCCUAUGAUUGAAGUGGCAUUUGUUUUAAAUUCUAGCAUUUUUUAUUAUUACUUCCUUUCAAAAUGGUAUAAAUUUGUUACAUUUUUUUUUUGUUUUUCACUACCGCACAUAUUAAACUAUGGAUUCUGGAGCUCUCCCCAUCGUACUUCUGUGUAUUAUCUGCCUCCAAUCCAGUGUCACUUGUCAGGAAUACCGAGGCUGGUCCAACUGUCCUCCUGGGGCAAUUGAUUGUGGAUGGCAACCUAACCCCUAUCCUCAACCUAACCCCUAUCCACAGCCCAACCCCGGAUGUCUCCCCCCAUUAUGCCACGUGGAUCCCAUCCCACAACCUCCGGUUAACAGACGGAAUAUCCGAUUAGGAGGACACCCGUGGCAGGGAUACAGGGGAUGAUAGAAAUGAAGGACCACCUAGGAUAAAAUUUCAUUAAAUCGAAGAGGAAGAAAAAGGUAAGCCGGUUGUACAGAUAUGGGUUUUACAUGCACACUGAUUUUGACUAUGGAUAACUCCGUUUACCUGAUCAAGAUAUAGGGCUCACCGCGGGUGUGACCGGUCGACAGGGGAUGCUUACUCCUCCUAGACACCUGAUCCCACCUCUGGUGUAUACAGAGGUCCGUGUUUGUCCGACCCUCUGUUUUGUAUUGCUUAGAGGAGUUAUGAGAUUGAUCACUGUUGGUUAUCUUCACCUUUCUUGCAUAUACAUGCACACGAUGAUGAAAGGGAAUAUGGUUGUUUUUUUAAAAAUUCAUUUAUUUUUUAUGUUUUGCAAAUAAGUAAUGCGAUGCACGAAAGAUGAUUGUAUAAAUAUCGACUAUGUAGACUUCCGAAUGAACAAUUUUUCACACAAGUAUAUUGUGUAUUAAUGAACUGGUUUUCUUUUUUAUUGUUUCAGAUUCAGUGGUCCACUAUGUGGUUUUUUACAUGUAGAAUGUCAAUUAUCUAAUAAAUUAUGAAACAAGAACCUUUUCCUUUAUGAUUUCUAUAGAAAGGAUACAUUCUGCAUGCAGCGCAUUUAUCUAUUUCUGAUAUCAGUUGAAUAUAGAAAUGUUCACUCCAAUUGUGGAUAUGUCUUAACGUUAGACAUUUGAGGAAACUUUCGUCUUUUACGAAUUGAAUAUCAACAUUAAUUAUGCACAUCGAAUAGUAAAAUGUAUGUAUCCAGUGCGUUGUGAAGUCAGUUGGCUAUGACAAGUCGGGUCUAUCAUUUCACUUGGGUUGUUACAAGUUGUCAGUUUAUUGUUUUAUUUGAGCUACUUAGGAAAAGUAAAAGUACGGGGAGGAGGAAAAAGAGGAAUUUCCACACCGAUAGAACCUUUCAUGAAAAAGGUAGAGUAAAAUUUCCAAUGGAGACCAGGAAAGGGAACUGCAGCUGUUAUUGAUACCCCUCAUCACGCCCCAGCAGGAAACAACAGAGUGUAUCAAACAAUCGUGGAGACACCCCCGUUCAACUGGACAAUCAACCCUUUAAGUAGCACCCAUUCCAGAGGAGGCUUCAUCUCAUCAAGAAAA